GUUAUUAAACCCAUUGUACAGAGCUAGAGGUUGAUCCCCUGCCAUCCUACCCACUGCUUUUUCUUAUUUUAUUUAUUUUUUAUUUUUUCAUGUACCAGGGAUUGAACCCAGGGGUGUUUAAACACUGAGCCACAUCACCAACUCUUUAUUUUCUGUUUUGAAACAGGGUCUCACUAAGGUGCUUAGAUAUGCAACCCCCGCUUGCAUAUCUUUUUAAAGAUUCUGCUCUGUGUAUUACAAAACACGUACUCUGCAGAACAGAGCUCCAGUUCCCAGCUGAGGAUGCUGCAUUCAAAGGGCAGCCCUGAAAACAGCAAGCUAUCAUCUUCUAUUGCAUGCCUGCAUGAAUCUCCCAACUGGUAUCUCUGCCAGGUUGUUCUCAACCAAAUCAACCAAAUCCUCUGUCAACUGGUGGCAUGUAUACCAUGGGAUCACUCAUCCCUUGAAGCUGAUUGGACCAGGGGAGACCAUCCAUUGAUUAUCAGCUAAUCAGAUUCUCCACUGGACUUCAUCUUCUUGAAAUACCUGUGUAGCCUUUAAAUCUGUACUCUUUGUGAACUGUUUGCUUCCAAAUCCACCAAAAGCACAGAAAUUGCAAGUAAGAUCUAGACAUUUUCGUAGUUAUUUUGUCAAUUGUCUAUGGAAUCUAAUGGUUUAAAAAAAAAAAACAUAGUUCGUAAUUUACAGGUCUUAUCAUUUUUCUCUUAAUUUUCUAAAAAAUAUUAAUACGAUGUUUCAGAAAGCAAAACUAAAAC
rnacentral:lncRNA from 1 species